AUUGAACGCUGGCGGCAGGCCUAACACAUGCAAGUCGAACGCACCGCAAGGUGAGUGGCGCACGGGUGAGUAACACGUGGGAAUGUACCCUUUGGUUCGGAAUAACGUUUGGAAACGAACGCUAAUACCGGAUGAGCCCUACGGGGGAAAGAUUUAUCGCCAAAGGAGCAGCCCGCGUCUGAUUAGCUAGUUGGUGGGGUAAAGGCCUACCAAGGCGACGAUCAGUAGCUGGUCUGAGAGGAUGAUCAGCCACACUGGGACUGAGACACGGCCCAGACUCCUACGGGAGGCAGCAGUGGGGAAUAUUGGACAAUGGGCGCAAGCCUGAUCCAGCCAUGCCGCGUGAGUGAUGAAGGCCUUCGGGUUGUAAAGCUCUUUCGCACACGACGAUGAUGACGGUAGUGUGAGAAGAAGCCCCGGCUAACUUCGUGCCAGCCGCCGCCGUAAAAC
rnacentral:rRNA from 1 species